rnacentral:rRNA from 1 species
GACGAACCGUGCAAACGUUGUUCGGAAUCACUGGGCUUAAAGGGCGCGUAGGCGGCUUGCCAAGUCAGGGGUGAAAUCUUUCGGCUUAACCGGAAAAGUGCCUCUGAUACUGGCAGGCUAGAGGGAGGUAGGGGCAUGUGGAACUUCCGGUGGAGCGGUGAAAUGCGUUGAUAUCGGAAGGAACGCCGGUGGCGAAAGCGACGUGCUGGAUCUCUUCUGACGCUGAGGCGCGAAAGCUAGGGGAGCGAACGGG